GUGAGUGUGACUGCCGUCUCCUGUCGUGCUCUCACCGUACGCUCAUCAGGGUAUCAGCUGUUACUAAUUGGUAGUGUACGUCGGCUUCAUCCUCAUGGCCGUUCCCACCACUCUCCCCUAUUUCUUCCACACUGCGCGAGAUCAGGGAAUGAGCUUGAUAUAACUGACUCCUGGUGUUUACUAAAGAGAGCCAAGCAACAGGGUAGAUCCUCUGAGAAGGCUCUGGAGGUUUGGAGCAAUCUGGAGAUUUGCAAUUUGGAGCAAUGUGGAGAUCAGCAAAACCUAGGGAGCUGCUUAUUCCAUGAUUCUCAAGACAGCUUCUUCCAGACACCGGCCACGCCAUCCUACCGUGUGGGGCCUGAACGUACAGCCUCUGGAACCAGACCACCUGGACUGAAAUCCCAGGAUCA